rnacentral:rRNA from 1 species
UACGUAGGGACCAAGCGUUGUUCGGAUUUACUGGGCGUAAAGGGCGCGUAGGCGGCAUGACAAGUCACUUGUGAAAUCUCCGGGCUUAACUCGGAACGGUCAAGUGAUACUGUCGCGCUAGAGUGCGGAAGGGGCAAUCAGAAUUCUUGGUGUAGCGGUGAAAUGCGUAGAUAUCGGAAGGAACACCAGUGGCGAAAGCGGCUUCCUGGUCCAGCACCGACGUUCAGGCACGAAAGCGUGGGGAGCAAACAGG